rnacentral:tRNA from 1 species
GUUCGCGUAGCUCAGUUGGCAGAGCAUUGGGCUGGUAUUCCAAAGGUCGUAGGUUCGAUUCCCACCGUGGUCA